AUGUAUAUGCUUACAACAUAGCGUCAAUGCAUUGGAUCCCAUUAGAACUCUGUAGUUAAGCUCACUCAGGCUACUGUAGUACUAGGAUGGGUGACCACUCAUGAAGUCCUAGUAGUUUACAUU
rfam:Picea glauca, whole genome shotgun sequence.